ACAGAGGAGACAAGUUGAACUGUCUAGAUUUGCACUCUCAAUGUUGGAUUGCUUACUUGUCAGCCGAGGCCCAGUUUGAGUGUUCGUUUAUGUAUUAUGCCAAAUUUAUUCCCACUUUAAGUUUCGUGUUUUUGAACAACGUAACACAACACUCUGAAUUGCAUCUGGAGUAAUCACUGCCAUAGUUGAACCAAUUGUUGUUUCAAUUCUACUCUUCAUUUUUGGUUUUUGUUGGAUAUGAAGUAGAGCAUCAGCUCAUCGCGACAAUUCAAUGUCGUAGAAGAAAUCAUAGGCAAAGUAUAGAAAAUCAAGGUCUUUUUCUUGUUCAAGGUCUUUAAGUAUUUUUAUGCCAUGGUCCGUACUCAAUUUGAGAAAAAUAUAAAGUUCUUCUGCACAGACUCAGGCGGUGAAUACAUCUUUAAAGAUUUUGAGCAUUUUUUGGCUACUGAAGGUGUCAUUCACCAGAAAACUGUCUCAGCAGAAUGGUGUUGCUGAGCAGAAGCAUCGCCAUAUUAUUGAAACAGCCCGUGAUCAUCUUCAUGCCAAUUUGCCUCAAUUAUUUUGGGCUGACAGUGUCCACAUGACAGUGUACCUCAUUAAUCGGGUGCCCACUACGGUUCUCCAAAAUCAGUCCACUUUACAUAAGCUUUAUAAUACUAAGCUUUUGUAUGACACUUUUCAUGUUUUUAGGUGUACGUGUUAUGUGCUUCUUCCGAGAUCUGAGUACUCUAAAAUUAAUGCCAAGUCUGCCAAAAGUAUUUUUUUGGGAUAUUCAGACACUCAAAAAGGAUAUCGUUGUUAAGACUUAGAUGCUAAAUACGAGUGAUGAUCUCACGCAAUGUUCUAUUCUUUGAGGAUUCAUUCUCCUUUUUCUCAACUGCAGAAUCAACAGAUGUCAUUGUUCACUCGACUCCCUUAUCGUCCUACUUUAAUGAUGAGCCUGAUCCUAAUGUGAGAGUUCCCUAGGCUCCUCCUCCCUCACCAUCUCCGGAUCCAGAUCUUUUAAACAGGCAGCUGACAGUAAAGAAUGAACCCUCCCUAUGCAAACUGAACUUGAUGCACUAGCCCGAAAUCAUACAUGGGAUUUGAUUUCGCUACCAUCGGAUAAAACUGUGGUUGGGUGUAAAUGGAUCUAUACUCUGAAGCAAAAGUCCGAUGGCACAUUGGAUCAAUAUAAAGCUCGCUUUGUGGCGCUAGGCUUUAAGCAAGAGUAUGGGAUCGAUUAUGAGGAAACAUUCGCUCCCGUGGCUAAAAUGACUAUUGUUCGUACAUUAUUGGCUGUUGUGGCAUUCGAAAAUGGGACAUCUCGUAGAUGGAUGUCAUUAAUGCCUCUUUCUUAAUGGUGAGCUUUCCAAGACUGUAUAUAUGUAGCCUCCUCCUAGCAUCUCCACUUCCCCAUCCAUGGUAUGCAAAUUGCAGAUGGCUAUUUAUGACUUGAAGCAAGCUCCGUGCGCUUGGUUUUCCAAGUUGAAGUCUGUUCUUUUCCAAGGUGGCAAUUGACAGAGCCAUAAUGAUUGUUCUCUGUUUAUCUCUCCUUCACCACGAGGGACGGUUUUUGUGCUAAUAUAUGUAGAUGAUCUCUUGAUUACUGGCAGAAGAAGGUAUUUUGCAGCUUAAAGAUGCUGAUUAUGGUGGAUGCCCCGACACUCGUCGUUCGACCACUGGGUAUUGUGUGUUUCUUGGCAACUUCUUGCUAUCUUGGAAGUCAAAGAAGCAAGCAACUGUAUCCAAAUCAUCCACCGAAGCAGAAUAUCGUGCCAUGUCAACUACUUGCAGUGAAGUAGUUUGGUUGCGUCGUUUGUUGGCUGAUUUUGGCAUUCAGUCUUCCACUCUCGCUCCCAUUUAUUGUGACAAUGAAAGUGCUGUAAAGAUUGCCGCCAAUCCCGUUUUUCAUGAACAAACCAAGCACAUCGAGAUUGACUGUCACUUUGUUCGGAAAAAAUUUAACGACGGUCUUAUUUCUCUUCCUCAUGUUUCCUCUAGAGAUCAACUGGCGGAGUUUUUCACCAAAUCUCAAGCGAAGAAACGACAUGAGUUCUUUAUUAACAAACUUCUGGUUGACCACCAUUAGUUUGAGCGGGGUUUUAAUCAACAUCUAUUACAAUAUUCACCUACUAUAUUUAGCUUUAAUAUCUUUCAUCUAUUACAAUACUUGCCUACCAUAUUUAGCUUUAAUAUCUUUCAUCUAUUACAAUAUUUACCUACCAUAUUUAGCUUUAAUAUCUU